UACGUAGGGUGCAAGCGUUACUCGGAAUCAUUGGGCGUAAAGGGUGUGUAGGCGGAAUGGUAAGUCAGGUGUGAAAGCCUUGGGCUCAACCCAAGAAGAGCAUUUGAUACUGUCAUUCUAGAAUUCAGGAGAGGAAGAUGGAAUUCCCGGUGUAGAGGUGAAAUCCGUAGAUAUCGGGAGGAACACCAGAGGCGAAGGCGGUCUUCUGGACUGACAUUGACGCUGAGACACGAAAGCGUGGGUAGCAAACAGGAUUAGAUACCCUGGUAGUCCACGCCCUAAACGAUGGUUACUAGAUGAGGUGGGAUUUGACCCCUGCCGUAUCGAAGCUAACGCGAUAAGUAACCCGCCUGGGGAGUACGGCCGCAAGGCUAAA
rnacentral:rRNA from 1 species